AAAAAAAAAAAAAAAGAAAGAAAGAAAGAAACAAAAUCCCAUUCAUCUAAGCCAACAUCAUCAUCAUGUUUUUGAAUUUAUUGCAGAAUUUUGCCAUUUAGACCAAAACCCUAUGGAGUAUAAUAAUCAGCUCCAAAAAAACAUUCUGUUGAAUAAUAGACAAUAUCUUUGUUUCCUGACUGCUCUUUAAUCUUAUUUUGGUCACCCACUAGUAUGUAAGAUCCAUAGCAAAACUGAAUUCAAGGUAUUUCAAACCUUCCUCUACUCUUCAUGAGCAUCUUGUAACUUCUUGUGGUUCUGAACACUUGUGGUUCUGAACACCAGUAAAAGUUACAAUCAGGAAAACUGAUUCUCUAAUAGAAUAGAAUCAGAGUUUAUUUCUGCUCAGUUGAAGUUUUUCCUUUUGAUACUAUGAAUUUUUUCUGCCCUACUAUUUAACUAUAUGUAACUCUGACAUAAACCAUUACAGAUUCAUUUUAAUCUUAAUAUCAAAACCUGACAAAGACAAUUAAGAGGGAAAAAAACUCUGCAGGCUAUUCUGACUCAUAAACAUUUGGUAGAAGGUAUUAACAAAUGGAAUCCCACAAUAUAUACGAGGAUAAAAUCAAGACCAAAUCAGUGUUCAUUUUUUACUAAUAAAUGUCUCAACUAAUAUUUCAUUUUUUUGUUUUAUGCUUAUGGCUAUCUUUAUCAUUGAUCUUGACUAUAGUAGGCUCAAUUAUUGUUCAUAGUUUGUAAGCUAAAAAAUAUUACACACAUUAUUUCUUGCUCUUUUAGGGAUGUCCAAAAGAAGACAUACUGGUCACACUGAAUGACCUGAUUAAAAAUAUUCCAGAUGCCAAAAAGCUUGUUAAGUAUUGGAUAUGUCUUGUACAUAUUGAACCACUCACAAGUCCUAUUGAAAAUAUUAUUGCAAUCUAUGAGAAAGCCAUUCUGGCAGAGGCUCAGAUUUUCAACUACCAUUAAUGUGGUGGGUGCCCUGCCUCAUCCACUGAAAUGUCCUCUUCAGCCUGACUAUAUGGAAGUCCAGUCUGACUUGCACCUGCUCAGUCUUUUGGCUUUGUCUUCUGGAUCCCUGAGAUGUCCCAGCCAGCGGAGAUCAGAACAAACAUUGGAAUGAAGGCCCCAUGGAAGAAUUCUCACAGGGAGGCAGAUGCUGUUGGAAGGAGAGAGCCUGGAAUGUCCGUAGUGGUCAAGAGAAAUGUGUAUGUGGGCGUGUGGGAGGGUAUCAAGGGAAGUGAUCACUGCCAAGCUGAUUUGUUUUUUAACUGCCAAAGCAUUCCCAGGAUAUUCUUCCUGGUUGCUAGGAUUAGAGAGCUGGUAAGUUUCAACAAUGCGUCUAUCUAUUCCAAGUACAAGCAUUUUUUUGGUAAACAGAUUUUUAAUUCUAAAAAGACAAGGUUAAGAUUAAGGAAACUUUGAAACAAAAUGACCACUCAUAAUUCCACUUUGAAACAAAAUGACCACUCAUGAUUCCACUACUCUUUAGUAGAUGAUAUGGUAUUUUUGUGUUUUCUUCUAGUCUAAAUACUCUUCAACGAGACUUUUAGGUGAGUUUCCUGUUGGCAUAAUAUCUGUUAAAGCAGCUUCUAACACUCAACAAGCUGGGAAUAGUUCUCCAGGCCUGCAUCACUCUGCAUUUAGGUGGAAAGUUAAACCUCAGAGAUAAAUUAUUAAUACCUGCAAAUAAAAUUUCAUGACUAUUUUCAAGAUUCUUAAUUUCCAAAACUGCUGAUCAGUGACUGUGUAGCUUGCUGAAGUAAAGGAAAGCAAACAUUGUGGGUAAGAGAACCUCUCCAUAGCUCUCCAGAAGGGGCCGAAGGGUCACCAUCCUAACUCCCUGUUUAGGAAGAAAACUGAGCCCCAGAAAGGUUACAGAGGUAAUAAGUGCUAGAGCUCAGACUCGAACGAAGGUCUUCAAAGAUAAAACUUAAAAUUUUAAAUAACGUUAGAUUUAUGGAAAAGUUACAAAAAUAGUGCAGAGAGUUUAUGUCUAAACUUCACCCAGCUUUCGCUAAUGUUAAUAAUUAUGCAGCCAUAGUUAAAUGAUCAAAACCAGAAAAUUAACUUAAUUCACACUGGUACAAUACUAUUAAAUUACAGACCUAAUUUGAAUUUUAUGAGUUUUCUCCCUUGUGUCUUUUUUUUUUUUUUCUGUUGGAUCUGAUUCAGAAUCCCAUACUGCAUUUAGCUACCACUUGUCAGUCUUCUCCAAUCUGAGAGAUUGUCUCACACUCUGCCUUCCAUGACCCUGACCCUUUUGAAGAGUCAGGGUCAGCACUUUGGGAGGCUGGGGUGCGUGGAUCACCUGAGAUCAGGAGUUCAAGACCAGCCUGACCA